rnacentral:lncRNA from 1 species
AAUAUUCACACGCAAACCUAACAUCCAGAAGAGUCAACAUGCAAAAAUUCAGAUCAUUUGACAUUUAUUUGGCAUUGUAAAUAAAAUCAUCAAAUUGGAAAAGAAAUGGUGUGACACAAAUUGUCACACCUACAUUCAUCAUAGCAUAUCUCCACAACCAGAAAUGAUAAAAUCACAAACUCUAUACCACAAAAUCCCUAAAGGUUUCUAGAUUAAGCAUGCAAAUUUUCAGCUCCAUUAGAUUAAGCAUCAUCAUUUC